AUUGAACGCUGGCGGCAGGCCUAACACAUGCAAGUCGAACGGUAACAGGAAACAGCUUGCUGUUUCGCUGACGAGUGGCGGACGGGUGAGUAAUGUCUGGGAAACUGCCUGAUGGAGGGGGAUAACUACUGGAAACGGUAGCUAAUACCGCAUAACGUCGCAAGACCAAAGAGGGGGACCCUCGGGCCUCUUGCCAUCGGAUGUGCCCAGAUGGGAUUAGCUUGUUGGUGGGGUAACGGCUCACCAAGGCGACGAUCCCUAGCUGGUCUGAGAGGAUGACCAGCCACACUGGAACUGAGACACGGUCCAGACUCCUACGGGAGGCAGCAGUGGGGAAUAUUGCACAAUGGGCGCAAGCCUGAUGCAGCCAUGCCGCGUGUAUGAAGAAGGCCUUCGGGUUGUAAAGUACUUUCAGCGGGGAGGAAGGGAGUAAAGUUAAUACCUUUGCUCAUUGACGUUACCCGCAGAAGGAGCACCGGCUAACUCCGU
rnacentral:rRNA from 1 species